rnacentral:rRNA from 1 species
CACGUAGGGCGCAAGCGUUGUCCGGAAUUAUUGGGCGUAAAGAGCUUGUAGGUGGCUCGUUGCGUCGGGAGUGAAAACCUGCGGCUUAACCGCAGGCCUGCUUCCGAUACGGGCGAGCUAGAGUUCGGCAGGGGAGACUGGAAUUCCUGGUGUAGCGGUGGAAUGCGCAGAUAUCAGGAGGAACACCGGUGGCGAAGGCGGGUCUCUGGGCCGUUACUGACGCUGAGGAGCGAAAGCGUGGGGAGCGAACAGG